GGUUGGCCUUUUCCAUGCAAGUCGAACGGUAACAGGUCUUCGGAUGCUGACGAGUGGCGAAAGGGUGACCUAAAACAUCUCUUCGUGCCCCCUAGUGGGGGAUAACGAGGCGAAAGCUUUGCUAAUACCGCAUACCAUCUACGGAUGAAAGCGGGGGAUCUUCGGACCUCGCGCUCCUGGAGCGGCCGAUGGCAGAUUAUGUAGUUGGUGGGGUAAGAGCCUACCAAGCCUGCGAUCUGUAGCUGGUCUGAGAGGAUGAUCUUCCACACUGGGACUGAGACACGGCCCAGACUCCUACGGGAGGCAGCAGUGGGGAAUUUUGGACAAUGGGCGCAAGCCUGAUCCAGCCAUGCCGCGUGCAGGAUGAAGGCCUUCGGGUUGUAAACUGCUUUUGUACGGAACGAAAAGCUUCUCUCUAAUACAGGGGGGUGAUGACGGUACCGUAAGAAUAAGCACCGGCUAACUACGUGCCAGCAGCCGCGGUAAUACGUAGGGUGCGAGCGUUAAUCGGAAUUACUGGGCGUAAAGCGUGCGCAGGCGGUUUUGUAAGACAGAGGUGAAAUCCCCGGGCUCAACCUGGGAACUGCCUUUGUGACUGCUAGGCUGGAGUGCGGCUUAGGGGGAUGGAAUUCCGCGUGUAUCAGUGAAAUGCGUAGAUAUGCGGAGGAACACCGAUGGCGAAGGCAAUCCCCUGGGCCUGCACUGACUCUCAUGCACGAAAGCGUGGGUAGCAAACAGGAUUAGAUACCCUGGUAGUCCACGCCCUAAACGAUGUCAACUGGUUGUUGGGUAUAAUCUCUUCAGUAACGAAGCUACGCGUGAAGUUGACCGCCUGGGGAGUACGGCCGCAAGGUUGAAACUCAAAGUCAUUGACGGGGACCCGCACAAGCGGUGGAUGAUGUGGUUAAUUCCAUGCAACGCGAAAACCCUAACCACCUUUUGACCUGAAUGGAAUCCUGAAGAGAUUUGGGGAGUGCUCGAAGGAAGGCAUUACACACGUGCUGCAAGGACUGUACUCAGCUUCGUGUCGUGAGAUGAUGGGUUAAGGCCCCGCAAAUCAUCGUCAUCCCUUGCCAUUAUGUGCUACGAAAGGGCCACUCUAUUGGGACCUGCCCGGUGAACAAAUCCGAACGAAAGUGGGGGAUAUGACUCCAGUCCCUUCACGGCCCUAUUACGUGUGGGCUGCACCACUAUCUAUACAUGGGGGUGUCACGAAGAGAGAUUGUGCCAAUCUCGGGAGAGGGGGAACCAAUUCUCCCAAAAAU
rnacentral:rRNA from 1 species